rnacentral:rRNA from 1 species
UACGUAGGGGGCAAGCGUUGUCCGGAUUUAUUGGGCGUAAAGAGCGUGUAGGCGGCUUUACAGGUCCGUUGUGAAAACUCGAGGCUCAACCCCGAGACGCCGGUGGAAACCGUAAAGCUAGAGUCCGGAAGAGGAGAGUGGAAUUCCCGGUGUAGCGGUGAAAUGCGCAGAUAUCGGGAAGAACACCUAUGGCGAAGGCAGCUCUCUGGGACGGUACUGACGCUGAGACGCGAAAGCGUGGGGAGCAAACAGG